UCUUAAAUAAUAUCACAGACAAAAGUUAGGAGAAUUUAAUUUGCAUUGCUAAAAUCGUUACAAGACGGCUAAUAAUUUUAAUAUAAACGUUGUAUAUUUUGCACAAGAGAUAAAAAUUUGUAGCCCCUUGUAAUAAAAUUAGUUACAACUAACAUUUGUAUGUGAACUAUAGCAUUUUUCUAUUCAAAGUAAUCACAAUUUUAUAAGAAUUCCAGCAAUGUUAAUUAUAUUCUUCCAAGUCAGUUUAGUGAUAUUUCAUAAGAGAAAAACUGAAAGUCACUGUUAAGGACAGAUAAAUAAAUAAGCUCUAGACCUUGGCAUCAACUGCCAUGAAUCCGAUCAAGAGUAAACGGGCCAUUUCGCGUCUCAUAAUUUUAGCCGCGUCGAUUUACGAGUGUCUGUUUUAACGCGAUACUACAAAAAACGAUGUUUUGUAGGAGAUGGGCCGAGGUGCAUUUGGGUAUACUCGGUCUAUUUAGUAUUUUGUGUUAGUCUCAAGUACCAAAGUAAAUUGUUCCAUUGAAGCCACUUUAAUUGAGUCCGAAUUUGGUUUAAAGCUAUUAGCUCUCUAGGAAUGCGUCUCGCGUCACAUCGACGUCGUACCAUACGUGCAUCGGUAACCGACACGUACACGGGACCGGUAACAAUUUUACGUAAACGCGUCGACGACGAAGAGAGGUCAAUCGUAAUAUUCGAUAAUGCCGUCGGGUCGUCGACGUCGACGUACCGUUUCUAUGUUUAGUAAAUAGUCGUGGCGAUUUUUAUCACGCGCGUCCGUCGACGGGCACGCCGAGGGCGGUCCGUCACCGACCGCUCGAGAUUCGGCCUCUAUUGCGCAGUCAUACGGUCCGUCGUCGUUUGCGAGAAGUACUCGUUUACUUAGUCUCGCGUGCAGUAUAUUGCAUUUUUUAGCAAUAGACCAGUUAUGAUCGUAGAGUAGUUCCAUCACGUAGGGUAUCGUCUCACCGUCGGCCCGGGACACACCUCCGGCUACUCGACGCUCCGCUUACCGGUACACGACACAAAUUAAAAAUUAUCAACACGAUAUUUUAUGAGGUCAUUAUGAUUGAUUUAUAAUACCCUAUGCAAUGGUUGUAUAGAUGUAGUGCAGUAUAAUUAUUAAAUGCAGGCAGCAUUCACAUCACAAACUUAACCCACAGAAGAAGUCGCCUCGGGCAACGGCAGCAGCGGAAGCGCGAUCCGGGAGACGGACACGAAGAACGACCUCCGCGGAACAACCGUAGAUCGUCGCUCCGUCACCGCUCCGGAGACGGGUCGGCGAGUGCCGCUCUCCGACUCACGGGUCGGAGUCACCCGACAGGAGUCAGAAACGUCAUUUUUGUGCGGACCGGCGACUCGACGGACCCCGGCCGAGGACGCCGCUCGAACCGAGGUUGCGGACGAGAGCGGCGAUACGAGUCGGAGACACGAACGGAGACGGAUCGCACGGUCGGCGCGUAAGAGCGGUUCGGACGAAGACAUUCGGGAACCGAGGACGAAGACGCCGCGCCACGAAGACGCCACGCCACGAAGACGCUCGUCAAUUGUGGACGAAGAUACCGGUCGACGCGCGAGGAAGACGCUCGGGAACACGGGAAGAAUACCACACCGGCGAAUGCGGGAAGAUACUCGUCGACGCAGAAGAAGAUGCCCAUCAAUAUUGUAUCGCGAAGUGCCGGGCUAGUGUUAUUGUUUUAAAGGCGAUUUAAUGUGUAAAAUGAAUGUACGUGUCGUUUGUAACGAUUGUUAUAAUGUUUGUAGUACGGUUUUAGACACCGACUCCGUGAAGACGGAGGAAGUCGAUACAUGUCGAGAAUGAAUUUAUUGAAGAUGUUGCCUGUGAUCACUAGGGGUUUGCACUAAUUUGGCGAGAAGAUUAUCGUCGUAGACACGUUGCAAAUAGAUUGCGGAACGUCAUCGAAUGCGGCACGCACGUCAUUAUGGCGGGACACGUCCGUAAAUAACGGCAGCGUAAAUACGAGACGACGCGGCGGCUGCGGGGACGCGCGCCUCUCGAAAGUAAAAGAACGGCGGAGAUCGGACCGACACGGAUGGCGUCAUCGAGGUAACCGAUAAGAAUGGAGAAUUGAUGACUAUUUGGUUGAGUUAUGAGAAGGGGAAGAUAGUUGGUGGGUUUGUUUUGGACAGAGAGUGUAGUUAUAUAUUAGUGAAUAUAUAAAGUAAAAGGUGAUGAGGACGGUGGUGGGGGGACAACGAAUGAUAUAUUUUGUAGGGUAUGGACGUGCUAGUACCGAGUCGGCGUAGUGGCAUAAUUGUGAAAAAUAGAUGCGACAGGGAUUUUGAAGAGAAGAAAAAGUCGCGCGGUAGAGGAUAUGCGGGGAAAUCGGCGGAAGAGACGACGAAUUUAGUAAAUGCCGGUUUAGGAAAGGGUCGCACGUAAAGCGGGCGGUGCGGGCAUCUGCGGAUACGGACGACGGUCGAUCGGGGUCCGUUUACGGGACGGGAAAGAGGAUCGACGCGGGAAGUACGGAGAGGGCGACGGAGAACGGACGGGAAUUUGCAUGGAGACGAGGCGGCGCAGAAAUGAAAGCGUCCGAGGUACCGCAGGGAAGUAUACCCGCGAGAUGUGUAAAGAAUGGUUUGGAAGUAGAGUUAGUCGAGAGUCAUGCGUUUGAAAUGGUGGGAAGGUUUGAUAGGUGUAGGGGUUUUACGUAAUUGCGGCAGUUCGUCGGAGAGCGGGUAUCUACCGGUAAGGAAAUACGCGAUGCAGCAGCAAUAUAUUUUUGGUUAAUAGCAGUUUGACGUAUUCGGUAUGAAUUUAUACUCGUUCACCUGCACUCUGUGUUGCUGCACUCGUGUUAAGGUGUUUAUUGUGAAGGUGUUUGUAUAAUAAUAAAAUUUGGUGGACGAGUAGGAUAAGUCGAAGGGGAAGGAAUACGAGCACAAUGUUUAAUUUGUAAGCCCUCCCUUUUUUUGUGUUUUCCGUCUGCCUUCCUGUUCUCCUUUUUGUAUCUCUUCUGCCUUUCAUUGUUGAUCCUGCGGUUUGUUGUCCCUCCGUUUCAUUGUGACUCCGUUCGUCUUUCUUC
rnacentral:lncRNA from 1 species